AAACGUAAUGUGGCUAAUGCUAUGUGGCUACACUGUUUUUCGCGUGCAACUUUCUAAAGCUCUUUAAUACAACUUUCCAACUUUCAUAGACAAUCGUACGUCGUACGCUACGCACUUUCGCAGUCGGAUUUUAUUUUAUUCAAAUUUCAAACGCACUCCUUCCUCUAAAUAUAUAUCUAAUUAGUUAGAACUUUACUCUAACUUUACAUCGCGAACUCAUCAAAAUCUUCACUUCGAACAGUUCGAACACGGAAAGCAUGUCAAGUAACCCAAAAACAUUACAAGAGAUGUUGGCAGAUUAUCAGCUAGCAAUACCGGAUACCACAUUGGAAUCUGCAUCCGUCAUUGAGACUUUAUUAACGAAAUUGGAUGUGAACUCUGGUAUCCUAGCAGUAAUGUUGGCGCGCUACAACCUACAACGUUUCAGCGAACGGAUACUGUCAUCAUAUUUUCUUCCAAGCGCACCAAAAAAUGAAGCAUCAUUCAUGCAAGCCUACAAAACAUUCUACAGUGACAACGAUCCUGAAGCGAGGGCCUCAGCCCACAUCCGUCGUAUUUUUCCAUCUGGGGAAGAUCUUUUUGCUCAGUCAUGCACUGAUGUUUACAAAAUGUCGUCGAAUUUGAUCGGUUUAGCUUGCUUGGGUCAAAUUCAUGGUACCAACAAAUUCGCGGAAUUAGUUAGCCAGAUGCCUGAGAUGCCGGAACUGACGGAAACACAACGGCAAGCGUUGCUCGCAAUAACAUCUCUUAAGGAAUUAAGAACUAGUUCAAUCGAAACAGUGUUUUAUUAAGUAAUUUGUUAUAUUGCUCAAUAUUAAAGUCUAUCUUGAACUAUGAUACAUAAUUAUGUAAUCCAUGAAUAGUACCUACUGUAAGAACGAAGAGGAAUGUGAACGCCGGAGAAACGCUAUUUCUGAAAUUUCCUAGUACAUAGAACUAAAAAGUUGAUCUUUCGAGUUUUGAAAAUUUGUUUUAAAUUUGCUUUUCACUAAGUGGAACUCUUGGAACAAAACGUUUCUACUAUGGGAUAAUCAUAUAUUCGAAGUGAUACCGCGUAAUGUAUUUAAACAAGAAUCUUUUGAUAAAUAUCUUGUGGAUAAAUUCGUUAAACAGGUCGAGCAUAACAUACAAACCGAUUUUUAGCUGCCCAACUUCAUAUUCACGUCUUCUGAAGCAAAUUGAAAAAUCGCGCUGGAGCCUCCAGAAUAGCUGGAAAUGGCGGAAUUCGCCCUCGUGGGGUUAAUUCAUGACAAAAUACAUCGAUUCGCGCAAAUUUCGAAAAUUUUCUCGCAAACGAGAAAUUUUUGAUUUUUGAAUAUUUUUAUUUUGAAAAAAAAGCUGGUCAAAAAACCACUCUUGAGGUGUCCGCUCCAGAAUCGGCUCAAAUGUGGAUAAAUUCGUUAAACAGGUCGAGUAUAACACACAACUCGAUUUUUAGCAGCCCAACUAUUUUGAACAUUAUUACUGAUCAAGUACGUACUUUUUUUUAAAAAAGCAUAAAUCACCAAAAUAGUCAAUUAUGGAUUUUCAAAAAUUCGUCAAAAAUCGAAAAAUGAACUUGGGCAGCUGAAAAUUUGGAUUUGGGGGUUUUAGAACAUGCUCUUUCCAAAAAUCGCGGUACCGUUCAAAUCGGAGGCGGACACCUCAAGAGGUACCCUUGUGAGUCACUUUCUUAAAUUAAAAUUUAAAAUCAGAAAUUGUGAUUUUUUUCCUCAUAUUUUUGUUACAAAUUUGAGCUACAUAUUUUCUGAUAAGUUUUUUCACUUUUUUCUAAUAGCUUUUUCUUUCUUCUUUUUCAAUUUAUCAAAUACAAACAUUGUUGGUCUUUACGAAAAAUUAAAAAUAAAUUUUAAAUAAGCUACCUAUGAGUUUUAGAGUAACUUUUUUGUACUUAAUGUUUAUUUCAAUUUUUAAAAAUGGGAAAAUCGAUGAAAAUAUUGAUUUUCCACCCUUCCCAACGUAAGGAAUCUACAAAAACAUCUUUAGAAAAAUGAGGAACCCUAAACUCAAAACCAAGCUGUUUUGACUUGAAACGUCCCCAAAUUAAUUAAAAAAAAAAAAAAAAAAAAAAAA